rnacentral:rRNA from 1 species
GGCGACGAUCAGUAGGGGUUCUGAGAGGAAGGUCCCCCACAUUGGAACUGAGACACGGUCCAAACUCCUAUGGGAGGCAGCAGUGAGGAAUAUUGGUCAAUGGGCGCAAGCCUGAACCAGCCAAGUAGCGUGAGGGAAGACUGCCCUACGGGUUGUAAACCUCUUUUGUUUGGGAAUAAAGUGCGGGACGUGUCCCGCAUUGCAUGUACCAUUUGAAUAAGGACCGGCUAAUUCCGUGCCAGCAGCCGCGGUAAUACGGAAGGUCCGGGCGUUAUCCGGAUUUAUUGGGUUUAAAGGGAGCGCAGGCCGUGGGUUAAGCGUGUCGUGAAAUUCCGUCGCUCAACGGCGGACGUGCGGCGCGAACUGGUCCACUUGAGUACGCGGGACGUUGGCGGAAUUCGUGGUGUAGCGGUGAAAUGCUUAGAUAUCACGAAGGACUCCGAUUCGAAGGCAGCUGACGGUAGCGCAACUGACGCUGAGGCUCGAAAGUGCGGGUAUCGAACAGGAUUAGAUACCCUGGUAGUCCGCACGGUAAACGAUGGAUGCCCGCUAUUCGCCCACCUGGGCGAGUGGCCAAGCGAAAGCGUUAAGCAUCCCACCUGGGGAGUACGCCGGCAACGGUGAAACUCAAAGGAAUUGACGGGGGCCCGCACAAGCGGAGGAACAUGUGGUUUAAUUCGAUGAUACGCGAGGAACCUUACCCGGGCUUGAAUUGCAGAGGAAGGAUUUAGAGAUAAUGACGCCCUUCGGGGUCUCUGUGAAGGUGCAGCAUGGUUGUCGUCAGCUCGUGCCGUGAGGUGUCGGCUUAAGUGCCAUAACGAGCGCAACCCCUCUCCGUAGUUGCCAUCGGGUGAUGCCGGGCACUCUGCGGACACUGCCACCGUAAGGUGUGAGGAAGGUGGGGAUGACGUCAAAUCAGCACGGCCCUUACGUCCGGGGCUACACACGUGUUACAAUGGGGCAUACAGAGCGCCGGCGGCCGGCAACGUCCGUCCAAUCGCGAAAGUGUCCCCCAGUUCGGACUGGGGUCUGCAACCCGACCCCACGAAGCUGGAUUCGCUAGUAAUCGCGCAUCAGCCAUGGCGCGGUGAAUACGUUCCCGGGCCUUGUACACACCGCCCGUCAAGCCAUGAAAGCCGGGGGCGCCUGAAGUCCGUGACCGCAAGGGUCGGCCUAGGGCGAAACCGGUGAUUGGGGCUAUGUCGUAACAAGGUA